rnacentral:rRNA from 1 species
GCUGGAAUCGCUAGUAAUCGCGGAUCAGAAUGCCGCGGUGAAUACGUUCCCGGGUCUUGUACACACCGCCCGUCACACCAUGGGAGCCGGGAAUGCCCGAAGUCGGUGACCUAACCUGAAAAGGGAGGAGCCGCCGAAGGCAGGUCUGGUAACUGGGGUGAAGUCGUAACAAGGUAUC